rnacentral:lncRNA from 1 species
CCUUGCCAUCAUCUCCAUGCCCCCAUCAGUUGUGUCCACUAAUCAAAUAGUGGGACCUACAAACUGAUUAUACACUAAAAAACUUAGUAAGCGAGAUCAGUGCAAACCCAAACCAGAUUCACCAAACUAAACAAAAUAUAACUCACAGGCAAAGAAGGGUGCCUCCGCAUCAAUUCCAUAGUCACACGAUAGACAACAUAUAUAGAUUUCCGAUCAGAUGAGUAGACACUGUUGCGAACCUCCCCAGACCAUUCUGCAAAGGUUUACAAAAUGGUAGACGGAAAACUGGAAAUGCAUUUUAAGUCCUCGUAGACAGGACAUAUAGAUAUAAUAUGUCCAGAAAUUUACCUGGAGCGUGUACGACAAAAUUUUGUUAGCAACGCACCUGUAGAAGGCAUAAAAAAUGAGGACAAAAAACACAAGAUUAAAAAAUACAUAUACAGCUUGUAUGUUCAUGAUCAUGUGAACAGAAGCAAUUUUGAAAAAUAAACGAAAAAAUGACAGGUUAAAUUAGUCUACCGAGCAGGAGGCCAAACAGAAACCCUGAAUAUGUAAGUUGACAUUAUGUUUCUAUAGAGAAGAGAUACAUAUAUAAAAAAGAUACAUCAGCAUGCAUUUCACAACGAGGCAAAAACCCAGUCACAUCUUACUAUUAAUCUGUGCACAAAUAAUCUUCAAUAAGAAAGAGCAAACGACCAAGAUUCUUUUGACAAAUAUUUAGGGUGUACAAAGUCGAACACUGAUUUUACUACCAUUUUACAUUUUCAUCAUCAGUCCUGCAAACUAAGUGUACAUCUGUUCUUUUCACAUACAACAUUAUAAGAAGAAUCACAAAUUCGCAAAACAUGAGCUGAAGCGUUAUAACCGGAAGUAAAUAAAACAUUAAUGGUGAUGUAUAUACUUGUUCUACGCUCUUCACAACACAGGAGGCAUGUCUCCUUCAAAAAGCUGCUUACUUCUACUUGAGUUUCAACAUGUUUUUUAUCAGUAGUAAGAUAUUUCAUAUCUCAACAGAUGUUGAUUUUAACAAUAUCAAAAAAGGUGUAUAUGGACUGGUAAUAAAACUGCAGCAAUAUGGAGUAAAAUAGAUUUACUGGUUUCAGUCAAGCUGCUCCUAAAGAAAGGAAGUCGAUAUAUUUACUGGCAUUGCAUAGUAAGGGUGAUGACUUAUUUGCUGUUGGCUUGGAGGCUGUGACCUCCCUUCCUCUCCUCGUUUAUUCCAAAUUCCACCACCCCCCCUUUGGUUUCCUUUGAGCUCCUCCACCCUUUCCUUGUCCUCUUCAUCAUUCAGCAGCAAAGCAGCAGAGUUUGAGAUGCAUCAGACAUUUAGAAAGUAACUUUGAAACUUCAUUUUCUUUUCAAAACUCUGGAACUUGAUCGCAGGCCAAGGCAUAUAUGCAUGUGUUGAACCAUCCAGCUAACAAGUGAGGGCUACAUAUUGAAAAAAUUACUUAACAAAAUUGUCUAUCAAGAACAGGAAACUGCAAUGGUUAAGCUUCUGCAGUGAAAACACAUCUUAAAAGACACUAAUCGU